CUGGAUUUAGGGAUCUCUCCAAGGCUCCUAAGAGAACAUCACAGAGAAGAUGUUAAGUCUGUCAUUUGUGUAGGCACUUAACUUCUACCAGAGUAUUUGUGGUGCUGGAGGACACAGGAAAACAGGGAAACCAAAGAGGAGAAGGCAUAAUUUUUACAGAAGACAGGAUAUUUUGAGUGAAGAAGUGUGGUAAGUUGGAUAUGACUUAUUCUGUGGUGAUAUGGAAGAUGAACCAGUUGGAUUCUCUGUAGGAGGCAAAACAGGUAAAGCAAAUACCCUUUGGGUACCGAGGUGAUGUGUUAUUUAAUCCAGCAGUUUAAGAAUGGCAAGUGCAGGAUAGGCGAAACUUAAAACUGGCAGGGAUGCACUUCCAAGAGAGGACAUCCUAACCACUUGUGGGAGAAGAUGAUGAUAAACUUGUAGACAUCUAAGAAGUCCCCUAUUCCAGAAUUGCUAACACCUUAUCUGGCAUCUUGUGGGUUCCUUGACCAGAAAGGAAGUUUCUCCCAAGUACUACCCUAAGGCUGUCAAAUAUUCAUUUUCCAGUAUUCUUGGAGGCAGUGUUGCAUGAGUGAUAGAGCACUGUUCAGGUGUUCAUGAAUGUCACGUUAAAGUAAUAAUAAGUUGUCAACCCAGUAGACUACAGUCUACUAUGAAGUCAUGCAAGAAGUUGUGGGCAAUGUAUAUGUGUGGCACGAUUGUAUAUUAGAGGGCUAUUCCACAAGUGAACUCGUAGAUUAGGCACCUCAGAAGUCAGAAGACCUAUGGCUAUAUGGAGGUCAAGAAUAGGCAGGAACAAGAAAUAGUUACAGUCUCAUUUCAUUGAAAUCUCACACUUAUUCUGGAAGUAGGCCUCAUUUUUCUUAAGCACCUGUGUGACUCUAUAAUGGCUGAGAAGAGCCUGAUAAAUUGAAUUUUAGGUUGAUGAGCUCAAGAAGGCAUAGGCUGGGACAUGGGCUCUGAGGCACAGGCCUUUUUUCUUUUUCCCUAUAGUUGUAUCUAUGAUUGGCACAUAACGCUUUAGAUCUGGGAAGUUCCGAAACUGAAGUAAAGUUGGUCAGGUUGUGGGCCUCCAACUGGUAAGACUUAUAAUCAUGAAGUAGCUUGGGUAGCAGGUGGCAGUACCAACCAUUCAACAGAUUACUCCUUGGGCAUUAUGGUUGGGAUGGUUUCCUGGCUCUCUGACUGCUUCACCCCUAAGUGAGUGUGUAGUUGCAGUGUUGGCCUGCAUUAGUGUAACCUUGAGUUACAGUGGGGAAGCAGCCAUGCCUCUUGACUAAGACUUGGUCUAUAAAGCUGAUGUCUGACAAUCUAUAAUUGCCUCCUAGAGGCAGCCCCCCCAUCCAUAGUUCUACCAGAUGGAGAACAAUUGUUCUUGCUGGUAAGGUCUGGGAUGCUGUAAACCUUGAUGGGUCCUUGCCCUCAUCUUUUGCCAGAAUGAGUAAUAUCAGUGGAUCUGAAAAGGUGUGGACCUACUGGCAGUCAUGUGUCUAUUGUUGCUGAGAAAGUUACCUAGUUCAGAGAGCCUGGGGGGAGCUAGGGCACAGGUCGAGGUACCCAAGAGUACAAGUUAGGGGCUUCAGUUCUAGAACAAAGCCUUGGAGCCCCUUGCAAAACUAACACAGUAUGACAUAUGUCAUUUCAGCACAACACAGCUGGCCCUGCCCCUUCUUGUAGGAGCUUUGGAUAGGACUGGUUAACUUCUAUCAAUAGGAACACACUAAAUUUGGAGGUUAACAUUGCUGGAAGGGCCAGAACAGUAACAACCAAGUUAAUUAAGGUUAAUUAGUGGGGAUUUUAACCUUUCAAGAAGAGGGUCUUAUUCUUUUUUGAGAUAGAGGGUAGGAGAAGCCCAGCCUCAGCUGCUUUCUUCUAUCAUCAAGAACUACUUUGAGCUGAGAGGAAGGGACUAACCAGUGUUGGCCUGCAUUAGUGUAACCUUAGAGGUGAAACUGACUUAUUUUUUAGGUAGUCUUGGGUUACCCAGUAUAGAUCCUCUGAAUUAAGGGGAACCAUCUAAUGGAAUAGUUGACCAUAUGUAAAAUACCUUGCCUAAGAUUAUAUCACAUUAAUCAGUUUCUACUUAAAUUUCCAUGAUGAGUAAAGGGGAUUGGGAAGAGGUACACACCAAGAGGAUCUUCCUAUGGCCUUGACAACUACAAAUAAUACACUCUCUACUGUGCCUCUUCUCAUGAAUAGCUAUUGGGAGCUUCAGCCUUACUUGGAUCUUCAUCAAAGUAAGGUGAGACUAUAGUGUAGAAGUUCCAUCCUGGGCUAUGAACUGUAUUUCACUCCCAUUUGGUUUAUGACACGGUUUACUCACCAUAGAUUUUCAAGUCCACAGCUCCUCACUUAAGAACAGGAUGGUAUGAGAUGUCAGGAUGUUUCAGGAAACCAAAUGUAUGAUCUGCAAGAAGAAAAUAACUCCAAGGAGAGAUGAGCUCUGCCUUCAAUUCAUUAAGGAAUUUUGGAUGAAACAUCUGCAGAGGGCCUGGAAGACUCACUGGUAAGAACUUGGAGCAGAGAUCAGCAAAGUCAAGAACUUUCUGACUACUACAAGGAGCAGAAGUGAAAAUGGAACUUGAUAUGACUGAUAAAACAUCAGAGGAUCUUGUCUAUAGGUAAAUAGCUUUCAUUUCUAUAAGAUAAUCAAAUCAAGUCUGUCUGCUGCUCAUCAAUGAAGGUGGGAGUGAGAUUCAAGAGGAAAUAAGUGCUAGAGACAAGGACUCGUAAUUCUGAA